UUGGUGGAGAAUUGCGAGAGGGGUAAUAUUGGUAAAAAACCCUCAGUUAUUGUAAAUAUUGGUGUGCACACCGCCAGCUCUAUUGAGCUAGGCAUUUCUAUUGGGUUAACCAGACCUGCUGGCCUCCGAGAAGGUAACAGGGGACCUGCUGGCCUCUGGGAAGGUAGCAGGGGAAAAACGCAUAGAUUAAGCUACGAUUACUAAACCUAAUUCCUAUUGCUCAUUGAGGUAUCAGGGGCAUCAAGAAGGUCCAUGGGCCAGGCUAAGCUACUUGCUGAAAUAAGGAGUAGCAGGUUCAGGGAAUCUAGACUGUGUCACCCGCUGAGUAAAACCAGGGGAGACAAAGAAGCCACUCGCUGAAUAAAAUCAGGAGUGACAGAGAAGUUAAAAAUUUGUUAGAAUGUUAAAGAAAAAACAGGGUAAAGCAGGUGCAGAGGAAGGAAUGAAGCCAAAAGGAGCUCCAGCCUUGCCUUGCAUUAAAAAAUAUUACACCUUUUAAACAAAUCCUUCAAAAAUUUGGGCACAGUCCUUGGACUAAACAAGCGCUAGCUGAUGUCUGCACUAUUUUGGACCUAGAAGAUAGAUUGGCUCAGUAUAUCCUCAUAUACAAACCUUCUAGUGCUGCCAAAAGAGAUGCAGCAGCAAUUUGGCUGUUGUGGGAGGCAUGUAAGGAUACUUACCUCCGCUUGUCUUCAUGUAAAGAGGAAAAGGCACAAACGGAAAAGGGAGCAGACAAUUGGAAGGUGCUGGCUACAAAUACCCAAAGUCAGCUGAAAAUAGUGAAAGAGGCACUCCAGGAAU